rnacentral:tRNA from 1 species
UCUGAGCUGGUGUAAGUUUAGGCAUGCAAGGCUUUCAAUCUUGAGGAGGGAGACCCCCGUUCAGAUC